UUCUCAGUAAUCAGGUCAAAGACAGCUCUAAAUGCAUUUUUGUUUAAUUCUGAGAAUGAUGAAGUGAUUUUUAUUCAAUCAGACUUUUUCAGGCAGCAGGAGUGUGCUGGGGCUGAUGGGAGGAAACCAUCAUCAAUAUGCACGAAGAUCUGAGCUGACUAAAGCAGGAUUUCAUCUGACAUUACAGAUAAAGUCCAAAUCUCCUUGACCCUGUGCUGAAUACAGAUUUUCAGAAAAGGAGGAGUGAUUAAUUGACCUAGGACUGGCUCUUGUGUUGUACCCGGUGUUGGCAGCCUUGACAUCCUGCAAGUUUAACCAGUUCUUCCAUCUGAUUGAGGCACAAUGCAGCCCCCUCUGAUGCUGUCCACGAGACCAACUGCAUCGAAACCUCUGAGAUGAAGCCUGGAAGCAAAGAGGAACGACUUAAGAACAUUUAUGUUAGGUAGAAUGCCCAGUGGAGGCUUGGAGGUC